UUUUUUUUUGCAGGGGUGUGGGGGGGAGCAAGUGGACCGACUGACAUUAAGGGCACCAACGUACACCCAAAGACCUCGUGGGAGGAUCUGCCCUUGUUAAGUGGCUUGAUGGUUAAUAAUUAAACUCCACAUAUUAUGCUGUUGAAUUGGAAAAUAAUAAAAGGGACACAUCAAGCCUCAGAAUAACUACAGUUCAUUGUACUCUUUACUGCAGAGUUCAAGGAAGUUUUGUGUGUAUUAUUCCACCCUCCCCUCCCAAACAUAUUAAAGUAGUUUGACAAAAUCAAAUGCAGAUAAUAAAGGUACCCAUAACCUGGCUCUUAAAUCUAGUACAUCAGUUUGUUAGUCUCACCUUUUUCAGGGUUCCAGAAUAUUUGGAUGAGGUGUUGUGGCACCACAUUGCCAAUUCUUUUUUUUUUUUUUUGGUGCCAACAAUUUGACAGGCUCAGGCUCAUUCUGAUACACAAGUCUUUGACAAAAACUGUAAGGACUGCCUCCACAACAUCUCUUAACAGCUUCAAUAAUGCUAAUGAGUAGAUGCGGUCUAAAUAACACUAUGUGGCAUGCUUGGUGGCUGUGGUGCCACUAAUGUAUUGAUUAAAAAACCUUGCCAGUCUUUCUUUCAUUAAAUUGAAUGCAGAAAUAAUCAUCAGCUGGAAAUAGUCUGCUGUCCAGCUCUCUAACGCCCAGCAGUCUUGGGCAGGCUGAAAUAUGUCCCAGUGCAUCCAUGGGAUUAAAGGAAACCAAUCCUAACUAACAGGAAAAAUAAAGAAUCUUGUUAUGAAUAUUAAAUACCAUUUUUGGUUUUUGAGACACUUCUAGGCCAGUGGACCUUUUGUUUUGUGGUUCUUAAUGAUGUAUCUAGAACGCCUAGAUGGCAUUUUGCUGUAAUACAAAGAAAAGAACAAAACACAUACAGGGUU